UACGAGGGGGGCAAGCGUUGUUCGGAAUUAUUGGGCGUAAAGGGCGCGUAGGCGGUGCGGUAAGUCACCUGUGAAAACUCUGGGCUCAACUCAGAGCCUGCAGGCGAAACUGCCGUGCUUGAGUGUGGGAGAGGUGCGUGGAAUUCCCGGUGUAGCGGUGAAAUGCGUAGAUAUCAGGAGGAACACCUGUGGUGUAGACAGCUUACUGGACCACUUCUGACGCUGAGACACGAAAGCGUGGGUAGCAAACAGG
rnacentral:rRNA from 1 species